CGGAGGGUGCAAGCGUUAUCCGGAUUCACUGGGUUUAAAGGGUGCGUAGGUGGGUUGGUAAGUCAGUGGUGAAAUCUCCAGGCUUAACUUGGAAACUGCCAUUGAUACUAUCAAUCUUGAAUACCGUGGAGGUCAGCGGAAUAUGUCAUGUAGCGGUGAAAUGCUUAGAUAUGACAUAGAACACCAAUUGCGAAGGCAGCUGGCUACACGAAUAUUGACACUGAUGCACGAAAGCGUGGGGAUCAAACAGGAUUAGAUACCCUGGUAGUCCACGCCCUAAACGAUGGAUACUCGACAUACGCGAUAGUACUGUGUGUGUCUGAGCGAAAGCAUUAAGUAUCCCACCUGGGAAGUACGAUCGCAAGAUUG
rnacentral:rRNA from 1 species